rnacentral:rRNA from 1 species
UACGGAGUGUGCAAGCGUUACUCGGAAUCACUGGGCGUAAAGCGCACGUAGGCGGAUUGUUAAGUCAGGGGUGAAAUCCUGGAGCUCAACUCCAGAACUGCCUUUGAUACUGGCGAUCUCGAGUCCGGGAGAGGUGAGUGGAACUGCGAGUGUAGAGGUGAAAUUCGUAGAUAUUCGCAAGAACACCAGUGGCGAAGGCGGCUCACUGGCCCGGUACUGACGCUGAGGUGCGAAAGCGUGGGGAGCAAACAGG